AAAUUAUGGUGGUGAAUGAUAUAAUUUAUAAUGAUGAUUCCUCAUAAACAAAAUUCAUUGAAUUUCCUGAAUUGCCUUAAAUUCUGAACAAGAGAAUUACUGCAUUGUGUAUUGUCUGAUAUUACAUUCAGCAGUUACAUGUGUAAUGGCAUGAGCAGUCACCCCUCAAAGAGUAGCACCAAAUUCUCUUAUUUUUGAAAACAGCUAAUCCCAGAAAUGACAUAUAUUUUGCCAUAUCGGUACUGUGGUUGUGUUUGUUCCCCCCCUGUUUUGAAUGCUUUACCUAUGUGGUUCCCCCAUGGGGCAGCACUCUCUCUUGCACUUUACCUAAAAAUAAAUGCUAAGUAAUCUUUUCUACUGUCUAUUUUAUUUACCCCUUUAAUUGGGCUUCUCAAUUCAGUCGCUGCUUUCAGUCCUUGCUGGGGACAGGAUGGAACUGUAUGCAUUUAGUUGUGUAUGACUAACUAAAUAGUUUCAUCUUUGUUUUCAGAAAGUGUACUAAUCUUUCACAAAGACCAUGUGAUUAUGGCACUUUCAUUAUAUUAAUAGUUCCUAAAAUGAUAUUCCGCAUCUUAUUUCUUUGUUCUCUUGUUAAUAUUUCUUUUCCCCUAAUUGUUUUAG
rnacentral:misc_RNA from 1 species